GAUGAACGCUGGCGGCGUGCCUAAUACAUGCAAGUCGAGCGAACAGAUGAGGAGCUUGCUCCUCUGACGUUAGCGGCGGACGGGUGAGUAACACGUGGAUAACCUACCUAUAAGACUGGGAUAACUUCGGGAAACCGGAGCUAAUACCGGAUAAUAUAUUGAACCGCAUGGUUCAAUAGUGAAAGACGGUUUUGCUGUCACUUAUAGAUGGAUCCGCGCCGCAUUAGCUAGUUGGUAAGGUAACGGCUUACCAAGGCAACGAUGCGUAGCCGACCUGAGAGGGGGAUCGGCCACACUGGAACUGAGACACGGUCCAGACUCCUACGGGAGGCAGCAGUAGGGAAUCUUCCGCAAAGGGCGAAAGCCUGACGGAGCAACGCCGCGUGAGUGAUGAAGGUCUUCGGAUCGUAAAACUCUGUUAUUAGGGAAGAACAAAUGUGUAAGUAACUAUGCACGUCUUGACGGUACCUAAUCAGAAAGCCACGGCUAACUACGUG
rnacentral:rRNA from 1 species